CCAAUACCUAUUUCUCCCUCCAGCCUUCACACUCUUGUAGUUUAAGAAUGAGAUAAUCUUGUAGCUGCUGGGAGUUUCCAUGAAGGGGGACUGGCCCAGGAAUGAGGUCAACCAGAGAAAAGUAGAGCCCUGAGAGAGGGACUAGGUCCUGAAGACUUCAUUUAAGACACAGGAUCCAGCCUUGCUUGAUGUCAUUACUCCUAGACUUUCACGUACAAGAGCCAAAAAAUUGUCUUUUCUUCCCCCUUAACCCAGGGCUCCUGCAACCAAAAGAACACUUGACUGUGGCAUCUUUCCAGCCUCCUGUUAGCAGCUAGGUAAGGUGCCCCCAUGGCAAGGAGCUGCGGGCAGCCUCAAGAAACUGGGUGGCCUCUUAGGACCUGAGGGCAGCCUCCAACAAGCAAGCAGCAAACCUCUGGGGCCUUCUGUUCUACAACUGCAAGGAAAUAAAUUCUGCCAACAGCCUGAAUGAGCACGGAAGUGAACUCUUUCUCAGUCGAGCCUCUGAAUGAGAACACAGUUCAACUCAUGCCUUGACUGCAGCUUGUGAGAGUCUGAGAAGAGGACCAGGAGCAACUCUAGUUGACUCUCCACUCCCACGCUGCAGGAAUUGACGGCGCACAGGGAACAGUUUCUACUGCUGUCCUUCCCGUUACCUCCUCCAAUGGGGCUUCAGUCACCACCUCUCUGGAAGGUGAUGAUGGUCGGCAGCUCCAUAUCGCCAGCCGUGACUCUGCCCUGAAAUCUAGCCCAAGGGAGCCAACUGCCUGUUUUGUCAGUGCCUGCUUGUGAUGGCAGAGUCAGCAUGGGACCUUCACAGACGCUGGCCGGUUCAGGGCCUGCAGGUCUCAAUGGCAGGCCUCUUCCUGAACGUGCACCACAUCAUACAACUCAGAAUGACCCCUACCUGUUCCCAGAGCUCAGGUGGGUGGAGAAAAAUCCCCGGAUGGUCCCUCAAAAGGACAGACACUGCCCCAUUUCUGGCUGAGCUCCUGCAGGUUCUAG
rnacentral:lncRNA from 10 species